rnacentral:rRNA from 1 species
CCUACGGGAGGCAGCAGUGAGGAAUAUUGGUCAAUGGACGAGAGUCUGAACCAGCCAAGUAGCGUGAAGGAUGACUGCCCUAUGGGUUGUAAACUUCUUUUAUAUGGGAAUAAAAUGUUCCACGUGUGGGAUUUUGUAUGUACCAUAUGAAUAAGGAUCGGCUAACUCCGUUCCAGCAGCCGCGGUAAUACGGAGGAUCCGAGCGUUAUCCGGAUUUAUUUGGUUUAAAGGGAGCGUAGGUGGAUUGUUAAGUCAGUUGUGAAAGUUUGCGGCUCAACCGUAAAAUUGCAGUUGAAACUGGCAGUCUUGAGUACAGUAGAGGUGGGCGGAAUUCGUGGUGUAGCGGUGAAAUGCUUAGAUAUCACGAAGAACUCCGAUUGCGAAGGCAGCUCACUGGACUACAACUGACACCGAGGCUCGAAAGUGUGGGUAUCAAACAGGAUUAGAUACCCUUGUAGUC